AGCGAACGCUGGCGGCAUGCCUAACACAUGCAAGUCGAACGAGACCUUCGGGUCUAGUGGCGCACGGGUGCGUAACGCGUGGGAACCUGCCCUUAGGUUCGGAAUAACUCCCCGAAAGGGGUGCUAAUACCGGAUAAUGUCUUCGGACCAAAGAUUUAUCGCCUUUGGAUGGGCCCGCGUUGGAUUAGCUAGUUGGUAGGGUAAAAGCCUACCAAGGCGACGAUGCAUAGCUGGUCUGAGAGGAUGAUCAGCCACACUGGGACUGAGACACGGCCCAGACUCCUACGGGAGGCAGCAGUGGGGAAUAUUGGACAAUGGGCGAAAGCCUGAUCCAGCAAUGCCGCGUGAGUGAUGAAGGCCUUAGGGUUGUAAAGCUCUUUUACCCGGGAUGAUAAUGACAGUACCGGGAGAAUAAGCUCCGGCUAACUCCGUG
rnacentral:rRNA from 1 species